rnacentral:misc_RNA from 1 species
GAUGAAGAACGCAGCGAAAUGCGAUACUUGGUGUGAAUUGCAGAAUCCCGCGAAUCAUCGAGUUUUUGAACGCAAGUUGCGCCCGAAGCCAUUCGGCCGAGGGCACGUCUGCCUGGGUGUCACGCAUCGUUGCCCCCCCAAACUCCGGUUCGGGCGGGGCGGAAGUUGGCCUCCCGUGCGUGCCUGCGCGCGCGGUUAGCCCAAAAGCGAGUCCUCGGCGACGAGCGCCACGACAAUCGGUGGUUUUUUUACCCUCGUUCCUCGUCGUGCGUGUCCCGUCGCCCGAACGCGCUCUUGCGACCCUCACGCGUCGCCUCGGCGGCGCUCCCAAUGCGACCCCAGGUCAGGCGGGACUACCCGCUGAGUUUAAGCAUAUCAAUAAGCGGAGGA